rnacentral:lncRNA from 1 species
GGUUUGUACAGUGUGAGGGCUCAGGGGUCUUACCACAUCUGUUUUUGAUUGAUCUCAGCUAUCUGGGCAGCGUUGUUGUGAGCCGGUCCCCUACGCCGCAAUAGGGAACCUCUAGGUGCGUCUAGUGAUCCUGCUGGGUCUGAGAGCUUACAGUCACUGCUACACCACUGUAUUACUAAAGCCAAGAGAGUGGCUGCCAACACCAAUAACAACUCCACUUCCAGGAGAAGAACAGGUGUGUCUCUCUCUCAGACCCAGCAGCAAUCCCAGACCCCCUCGGCUCACAGAGAAGAUCUCUACCUCCACAGGAAGAGGAAAAGGCAGAACAGGAAGAACCCAUAUCUCUUUUUAACCUCCCUCCUGCACCGCAGAAGACGCUCUGAGGAGGACCAGGCGGCCAUCCUGGCCAGUACAGACUCAGACGGGCCCAACUACAGGACUCUCCACUGACCACUGACCAGUAUGUCCACUACUGUCACUCACAGACAGGUCAAGCCAUGGGACGUGACUACAUUGACCCGCCAACCUAGAUCUCCCUUAAUUCCAUUCAGCUUUUGGCAGUGGGUAACCUGUCUCUAGCGUUUUCCAAAUAAUUUACAGACAAAAUGAAGAUGUUUUCCGUGUCUCCCUGAGGAUAAUGUAGUGAGGGUCACCAGAUAAAACAUCUGUAAUGUAAAUACAUAAAAUAAUGAAAAAGGGGACAAUAUCUCCUAUUGUAGUAAAAUGCAUUGAUCUAAAUAAUUCACAACACCUUAAAAGUCACUGGUCAGGAGGAGUCUAUCUGAGGUGUUACAGUGACACAGUGGACUAAACCUGGUGCGUUCCUUAGACAAGGACCUCAGUCUACCUUUCCUACAAUUCAAAUAGUGUCAGUAUCUAACACAGGGUACUUAUCGCAAAAUAUACCUCAGAGUAAGUGCAGAAUUGCAGUAAUUCUAUUGGACUAUACGUAUUUUACAUUAUUUUUCAAAUGAAAUGUAUGAAAGAAAUGGUAUAUAAUAUCAUUCACUUCACACAUGAAUUGGAUGCUAUGGCCUGAAGUCUGAUUUUCAUCCGCUUUUAAUAUCGAGCCCAAUCUGCAUAUUUUGCUUAAUCCCAAAAGAAUAUCAUCCAAUACAAGGCGCGGUAUGAUAUUGGUAUAUUUCAAAUCACUAAAAGACAUGUCCUCACUCUCUUGCAUUUAACCAUGUGAUCACAUCCAGUAAAGGUCAGCCCACGUUCUUCUUGCUAAGACAUACAGUAACUUUGUGUUCAAGAGGCCAAAUGUACACUUGAUAGGGUGAGGACAGA